UUGGUGCUGCCUCCAUUCCAUCACUGAAGGAGCCUGAGAAGCCUGAGCAGCCCACUCCAAGGAAAAGCCCCUACGUUCCCCCUCCCACUGGCCUCUUUGAUGAUGAUGAUGAUGAUGAUGACGACUUUUUCUCGGCACCCCGCAGCAAACCUUCCAAAACAGGCAAAGUCCAAUCCGCUGCCAAUAUCUUUGGUGACGAAGAAGGAGAUCUGUUCAAAGAAAAAGCCCAAGCAUUGCCAGAAGCCACUGUGAGUCAGACAGAUGAAAAUAAAGCAAGAGCAGAAAAAAAGGUUACCUUACCUUCCAGCAAAAAUCUCAAGUCCUCGUCAGAAACAAAGACUCCAAAAGGCUUAUUUUCAGAUGAGGAGGACUCUGAGGAUUUGUUUUCUUCUCAAAGUGCGAGUAAGUUAAAAGGUGCGUCUCAGCUCCCUCGCAAGCUCCCCACGUCGGUUUCCCUGUUCGAUGAUGAAGACGAAGAGGAUAAUCUUUUUGGGGGUACAGCUGCUAAGAAGCAGACAUUGUCUCUACAAGCUCAGAGAGAAGAGAAAGCAAAACCCUCUGAGCUCUCCAAAAAGAAAGCAUCUGCCCUGUUGUUCAGCAGUGA